UACGUAGGGGGCAAGCGUUGUCCGGAGUUACUGGGCGUAAAGCGCCCGCAGGCGGUGUGCUAAGUUCAGACUGACAAUGCCUCGCCUAACGAGGCAGGGUGUAUGAAAACUGGCAGACUUGAGGGAUAGAGAGGGACAUGGAAUUCCGGGUGGAGUGGUGAAAUGCGUAGAUAUCCGGAGGAACACCAAAGGCGAAGGCAAUGUCCUGGCUAUUUCCUGACGCUGAGGGGCGAAAGCUAGGGGAGCGAACGGG
rnacentral:rRNA from 1 species